rnacentral:lncRNA from 1 species
GUAACUUCCCAGCUUUUAAAAAGAAAAGGAAAAAACAAUAAGGAACUGUUCAUUUAUUCUGUGAGCAUAUGCGUACUUUUUACAUAAAGUGUGAGUUUCCCUUGUGUCCUAUGAACUGGUUGGUUGCAAAUGAGAAGAGUUGCCUGUUUUUACACGAGCCUGAGAAACACUCAUCAUUGGGUAAGAAAUAACUUUUUUGUUUGUGUGAAAUCAUAAGACAGAACCCAUUCCAGCAUACACCUCCAAUAUAAAGCUCAAGGAUGGAGGCCUGUUAAUCAAGCGGAAGUAUGGGAAGUGAGAAAUGAAACACAAGUCUUAUUUUUCACACCUCUAAAUGAGUGACUGCAAAGGAUGAACUUAAAAAUAAUAAUGCAACCUUUUUCUUGCAUCACACCUUUUAAUAAGGCAGUUUAAAAAUAUUUAGGGUGAACCUUCAUCAGGAUGCGUGUAAUUGCCUCAGCACAAUUUAGGAGUCCUUUGAGG